CGACUUCCGUUAAUUGAUUAUGACGUACUUGUACUGAUUGAGAUUUUAACACGAAGUGAGUGGCGAACGGGUGAGUAACACGUGGGUAACCUGCCCAGAAGUAGGGGAUAACACCUGGAAACAGAUGCUAAUACCGUAUAACAGAGAAAACCGCAUGGUUUUCUUUUAAAAGAUGGCUCUGCUAUCACUUCUGGAUGGACCCGCGGCGUAUUAGCUAGUUGGUGAGGUAAAGGCUCACCAAGGCAGUGAUACGUAGCCGACCUGAGAGGGUAAUCGGCCACAUUGGGACUGAGACACGGCCCAGACUCCUACGGGAGGCAGCAGUAGGGAAUCUUCCACAAUGGACGCAAGUCUGAUGGAGCAACGCCGCGUGAGUGAAGAAGGGUUUCGGCUCGUAAAGCUCUGUUGUUAAAGAAGAACGUGGGUAAGAGUAACUGUUUACCCAGUGACGGUAUUUAACCAGAAAGCCACGGCUAACUACGUGCCAGCAGCCGCGGUAAUACGUAGGUGGCAAGCGUUAUCCGGAUUUAUUGGGCGUAAAGCGAGCGCAGGCGGUCUUUUAAGUCUAAUGUGAAAGCCUUCGGCUCAACCGAAGAAGUGCAUUGGAAACUGGGAGACUUGAGUGCAGAAGAGGACAGUGGAACUCCAUGU
rnacentral:rRNA from 1 species